GCUCUCUCAGGGUUGCAACUGGAGAGUACUCCAGUACUCUACCAGUCUCGACUACAGGACGGAGAGUCUAGCAGAGGUAUACCCAUUCCAUUCUUAGGUUGGCCAGUGGCUAGCGAGUGGAAGGCAAUCUGCUACAACU